CGUCUGUCUGGAUUCUACACUUAGCACGAAAGCGUGGGAGCAAUAGGAUUAGAUACCCUAGUAGUCCACGCCGUAAACGAUGAGAACUAGGUGUUGGGGGAAUAACUCAGUGCCGUAGUUAACGCAGUAAGUUCUCCGCCUGGGGAGUAUGCACGCAAGUGUGAAACUCAAAGGAAUUGACGGGGGCCCGCACAAGCGGUGGAGUAUGUGGUUUAAUUCGAAGCAACGCGAAGAACCUUACCAGGCCUUGACAUCCCUUGCAGAGGUAUAGAGAUAUAUCCGAGGUUAUCAAGGAGACAGGUGGUGCAUGGUUGUCGUCAGCUCGUGUCGUGAGAUGUUGGGUUAAGUCCCGCAACGAGCGCAACCCUUGUGAUAUGUUACUAACAUUGAGUUGAGGACUCAUAUCAGACUGCCGGUGACAAACCGGAGGAAGGUGGGGAUGACGUCAAAUCAUCAUGCCCCUUAUGGCCUGGGCUACACACGUACUACAAUGGCGUCUACAAAGAGCGGCAAGCCUGUGAAGGCAAGCGAAUCUCAUAAAGGACGUCUCAGUUCGGAUUGAAGUCUGCAACCCGACUUCAUGAAGCUGGAAUCGCUAGUAAUCGCGAAUCAGCAUGUCGCGGUGAAUACGUUCUCGGGCCUUGUACACACCGCCCGUCAAACCAUGGGAGUUGGUAAUGCCCGAAGCCGGUGGCAUAACCCUUCGGGGAGUGAGCUGUCGAAGGCAGGACCGAUGACUGGGGUUAAGUCGUAACAAGGUAACC
rnacentral:rRNA from 1 species